rnacentral:tRNA from 2 species
AGGUUUGCGCGAGUUACCGUACCACCUUGACAUGGUGGGGGUCGUUGGUUCGAAUCCAAUCGUGCCUACCA